GGGGAUAGUUUUAGUACGUAGGCACUACAGAUAGAGAAUCGUGCAUGCUGCUGCCUUGUAAGAUCCAGCGGACAAGUAGGAUUUUUGAAAGAUUACUACCUCCC
rfam:Glossina fuscipes fuscipes unplaced genomic scaffold Scaffold55, whole genome shotgun sequence.